rnacentral:rRNA from 1 species
AUUCUAAUUUAGAUAGUUAUAUAGGCUACACUAAUGAGAAGGUGAAUUAUUAGUAGUAACCUUAUAGUAGCAAAAAUAAAUAAUAACAAAAACAAGGAUUAGAUACCCUUCUAUUAUUAAAUAAUAAGUUUAAUUUGAGAACAAAAACAAAAGAAUUUGGCGGUAUUUCAUUCAAUUAGGGGGUCCUGUAGUUUAAUUUGAUAGUCCACAGUUUAUUAAUCUAAUAUUUGAAAUUGACAAUAAAUGUAUUGCCGUAUUAUAGUUUUUUAAAAAAGAAUUAUAUAAAUUAUAUAGUUGUAUAAACAUCACAGGUUAAAUAUUGUUUAUAUAUUAGGACGAAUGGGACACCAUGAUCUAAAGAUAUUACUAGUACUAGAAUAAACGUACUAAAAAAUAGGACUUAAUAGUAAUUAGUUUAAAUAAUUCUAAUGAAAUAGAACUUGAAAUAAGCACAUAUUGCCCGUCGGUU